rnacentral:lncRNA from 10 species
ACACUGUCAGCUCCUAACGCCGCAGGUUCCUCCUGGUCCCCGAGGCCCCCGGUCGGGCGUUGCCUGCCCCGCGCGGGCGGCCGGGCCGAGGGACGAUGGUCAGUGGACGGACGGCGCCAGGGAGCAGUGCCCACGCGCGGCAGGGCGGUACCUUCAGGCCUCCAGGGGCUGGGGCUGGCUCUGUUGGCCUCUGUGCUGGGUUUCUUCCUCUGCACCGCAGGACUGGCUCUCCUGACCUCUCCAGGUGUCAUCGAACACCCUUGUGCUUGCUGUCACCCGCUGCCUGUCUGCAGGAUCCCGGAUUCCGUAUCAGGGGACCGAAAUUAGUCGGAAAAUAGGAAGCAGGUGCUCGCUUGGAUGGAACCCUGACCCUGUGCUCACACUUGUAGGAGGAGGGCUCUGCAGGCCGCCUCCCGGAACGGGAGGUUCCCAAGCCACUGCACUUCGGAGGGGCUGUAAUUAGAGUUGCACAUUCAUUCAGUUCCCAGUAAAGUAGAACGUGCUCCAGCCAGUGAGGAAAAGGUGUUUUUAAAAAUUAGAUUGGCCGAGUGCGGUGGCUCAUGCCUUUUACCUCAACACUUUGGGAGACAAAGGUGGGAGGAUCACCUGUGGCCAGGAGUUCAAGACCAGCCUGGGCAACAGAGCCUGUCUCUGGGGAAGAAUAAAAAAAAAAAUUGAGCCUUUGUCAGUGCUACUAUUUUAUUAUCUGGUAAAUAUGAGAGGGUUCACGCGGUCUAUGUGUGUCAUUUAUCUGAGUUUGCCUAUCGUCACGUUUUGGAAAUAAAUGUCAAUAAAGUCGAAUCGGAAGUCCAGCCCAGCCUCACUCCGCCAAAAUCAGGGUGUCUGCAGGGCCGA